rnacentral:rRNA from 1 species
AUAGGGGAGCCGAAGGGAAACCGAGUCUUAACUGGGCGUUAAGUUGCAGGGUAUAGACCCGAAACCCGGUGAUCUAGCCAUGGGCAGGUUGAAGGUUGGGUAACACUAACUGGAGGACCGAACCGACUAAUGUUGAAAAAUUAGCGGAUGACUUGUGGCUGGGGGUGAAAGGCCAAUCAAACCGGGAGAUAGCUGGUUCUCCCCGAAAGCUAUUUAGGUAGCGCCUCGUGAAUUCAUCUCCGGGGGUAGAGCACUGUUUCGGCAAGGGGGUCAUCCCGACUUACCAACCCGAUGCAAACUGCGAAUACCGGAGAAUGUUAUCACGGGAGACACACGGCGGGUGCUAACGUCCGUCGUGAAGAGGGAAACAACCCAGACCGCCAGCUAAGGUCCCAAAGUCAUGGUUAAGUGGGAAACGAUGUGGGAAGGCCCAGACAGCCAGGAUGUUGGCUUAGAAGCAGCCAUCAUUUAAAGAAAGCGUAAUAGCUCACUGGUCGAGUCGGCCUGCGCGGAAGAUGUAACGGGGCUAAACCAUGCACCGAAGCUGCGGCAGCGACACUAUGUGUUGUUGGGUAGGGGAGCG